rnacentral:rRNA from 1 species
AACGAACGCAGGCGGCAGGCUUAACACAUGCAAGUCGAACGGUUGUAGCAAUACAGCAGUGGCGCACGGGGUGAGUAACGCGCGGAUAUCUGCCUUUUGGUUCGGAAUAACUCCGGGAAACUGGAGCUAAUACCGGAUGGUUCCUACGGGAUAAAGAUUUAUCGCCAAAAGAUGAGUCCGCGUACGAUUAGCUAGUUGGUGAGGUAAUGGCUCACCAAGGCGACGAUCGUUAGCUGGUCUGAGAGGACGAUCAGCCACACUGGGACUGAGACACGGCCCAGACUCCUACGGGAGGCAGCAGUGGGGAAUAUUGGACAAUGGGGGCAACCCGUGAUCCAGCCAUGCCGCGUGAGUGAUGAAGGCCUUCGGGUUGUAAAGCUCUUUUGGCGGGGACGAUGAUGACGGUACCGCAGAAUAAGACCCCGGCUAACUUCGUAGCCAGCAGCCGCGGUAAU